rnacentral:sRNA from 1 species
UCCGCAGGGAUGCUGUGAAUAAGAUUAAAUCGUUACCCAUUGCUACGAAAGAGCAGCUUGAGAAACACAAUGAUAUUUGUGCCAUCUGUUAUCAGGACAUGAAAUCUGCUGUGAUCACGCCUUGCAGUCAUUUUUUCCAUGCAGGCUGUCUUAAGAAAUGGCUGUAUGUCCAGGAGACCUGCCCUCUGUGCCACUGCCACCUGAAAAACUCCUCCCAGCUUCCAGGAUUAGGAACUGAGCCAGUUCUACAGCCUCAUGCUGGAGCUGAGCAAAACGUCAUGUUUCAGGAAGAGGUUUGUGAAGAAAAUUCAACCUCAACAACUUCAGAAACUGCCCCUGAUAUGUGUGAGAGAGAAAUAAAAUCAGAUUUUGAGUGUUGAAGGGACUGAGAAAGUGAGGAUAAAGAGCAUGAGGACAGCAUAGAAGGAAGGAGGCAGAAGUGGAACUGAACUUUCACUCUCCAUGGGACAGAUCAAUCUCAUUAUCAAGUCUGAAUAGCAACCAGCCCUCUCCUCCACCCCGUUUCUCCUCAGUUAAUUGGAACUCAGUCAGAUGAUUAUUGAGUCUUGUACAGCACUGAAAUGAAAUCAAAGAUGAAGAAGCAUUGAUUGUAUUCAAAGAUUGAAGCACGCUCAUUCUUUGUAUGUGCUUUAGGGAAGGGGUGGGUGGGCACUUGGGCCUUGCGGGUGCAUUCAUGUAAUCUGAGACUCUUGAAUUUUAUGACGGAGUCUUCAAUAUUUUGAUGUAUAUGAAACUUUUGUUAAUAUGUUGUAUACUUUGCUGGCUGUGUGAAGUAAACUAAAACUCUAAUGAACACUUUGGAGUCCGCUUUAGUGAAGGAGACCAAAGUGGGAAGGGCUUUAGGGCACUGAUAGAGGCCCUGGGUGUACUUU